rnacentral:rRNA from 1 species
GGGGAAUAUUGCACAAUGGAGGGAACUCUGAUGCAGCAACGCCGCGUGAAGGAAGAAGGCUUUCGGGUUGUAAACUUCUUUGACGAGGGACGAAAGAAAUGACGGUACCUCGAAAACAAGCCACGGCUAACUACGUGCCAGCAGCCGCGGUAAUACGUAGGUGGCAAGCGUUGUCCGGAUUUACUGGGUGUAAAGGGCGCGUAGGCGGGAUAGCAAGUCAGAUGUGAAAUGCCAGGGCUUAACCCUGGAGCUGCAUUUGAAACUGCUGUUCUUGAGUAUGGGAGAGGCAGGCGGAAUUCCUAGUGUAGCGGUGAAAUGCGUAGAUAUUAGGAGGAACACCGGUGGCGAAGGCGGCUUGCUGGACAAAUACUGACGCUGAGGUGCGAAAGCGUGGGGAGCAAACA